rnacentral:other from 1 species
UUCCCCCUGCCGUGUUCGUGAUUGAAAGUAACUCUUUGACCCAACAAUUCAUAAUAUGGGAGCUGUCCCUGGUUUCGGUGAGCAAGUUCUGCUUGUACAGAAAAGCCUAAUGAUUCCAUAUGGCCCCCCCCUUUGGACCCAUGGUUCAAAGAACUGCCAACACGGCACAGUGCAGGGGGUUC